rnacentral:lncRNA from 1 species
UGUCUGUGAGGAUGUGGAUUCUAUCUCUGGCCUCAUUCAGUGGGUUAAGGAUAUGGUGUUGCCACAAGCUGCAGCAUAGGUCGCACAAGUGGCUUGGAUCUGGCGUUGCUGUGGCUGUAGCAUAGACCUCAGCUACAGCUUCAAUUCAACCCCCACCCCGGCAUCUUCCAUGUGCUGCAGGUGUAGCCGUAAAAAGAAAAAAAAAAUUAGAAUGAAGGAAAAUGAAAUGCUUACUAUUAAGCACGAGGGGUUUUGUGUUUGUUUGUUUCUUAGGGCCACACCCACAGCAUAUGGAAGUUCCCAGGCUAGGGGGCUCAAAUCGAAGCUGUAGCCACUGGCCUACACCACAGCCACAGCAACGUGUGAUCCGAGCCAUAUCUGUGACCUACACCAUAGCUCACGGCAAGGUGAGUGAAGCCAGGGAUCGAACCCACAUCCUCAUGGAUACUAGUUAUUUUCGUUUAUGCUGCACCACAAUGGGAACUCCUCACAAAGUUUUAAAGAGAAUUAUGUUAGAAGAAACACCACUAGUUUGCACUGAUAUUACAAAUUAAGAAAUCUUUGUACCCCCAGGAUUCUGUAGACAGAAAGCAAUCUAAGAAAACUAACCCAAUUGGUGUCCUAGAAUUCAACUCAAUUCUGAGAGUGUCAACCUGGAGAGAGCGUUAGAUUCCACAGGUUAAUGGCUCCGUCCUACAAGACUCCCCCCCACCCCCAGCCCCACUUCAGAGGCCAGUCACAAACCCAGGUUUUAUCUGUGCUUCUGACCAACCAGCUAAAGGUUGGAGCUUCCAACACCCUCCUUGGACUUCAGACACUCCUUGCAAGUCCAAGUUACCUGUAUUUCUAACAAACUGGCUAUAAAUCAGAGGUCCGCAAAAUGCCCUGCUUGGGUUUGAAUAAUUUGCUAGAAUAUCUCAGAGAGAAACAAUAUUACUUACUAGAUCACUGGUUUGUAGAGAAAGGAUAUAACUCAGGACAAGCCAGAUGGAGAACUGCCCGGGGUGUUAAUGAACUGAACUUGGGUCUGCUCACCUGUCACGCAGCAAAGCUGAUGUACUGACACUAGGUUGUGCUGAAGGAAAGUACGGUGUUGAUUGCAGGGUCCAACAGGCAGAAUAGUCAGCUCAUGCUCAAAAGACCGGAAUGGCUUUCAGAGAUGUUGUUUUGUCUUGUUUUGUUUUGUUUGUCUUUUUAGGGCUAUACCCACAGCAUAUGGAGGUUCCCAGGCUAGAGGUCAAAUCAGAGCUGCAGCUGCCAGCCUUUGCCACAGCCACAGCAAAGCCAGAUCCGAGCCGCACCUGCGACCUACCCCCACAGCUCAGGGCAACACUGGAUCCCCAACCCACUGAGCGAGGCCAGGAAUCGAACCCACAUCCUCAUGGACGCUAGUAGGGUUCGUUAACCACUGAGUCACAACAGCAACUCCUCUUUUGUUCUUUUUGAGGGGAAAUUUAUUUUAUUAUAUUCUUUUUUAUUCAUAUAGUUAUUUUGGCUGCGCCCGAGGCAUGCAGAAGUUCCUGGGCCAGGGAGCAAACCUGAGCCACAGCAGUGACAGUGCUCGAUCCUUAACUGCCAGGCCACCUGGAAAGUCCUGUAUGAUUUUUUUCUGAUUGGUCAGUGAUGAGGUAACAGAGCGAUGUUCCCGGAAUCUUCAGCACCUACCUCCUGGUUCCAACCAGUCUGGUGAUCGGCAUGUAGUUACCUGCUACUGCCCUGGCAUGCAGGUUCAUUCCCUGCCUCAGGACAGUGGGUUAAGGACUGGCAUUGCUGCAGCUUGUGGCAUGGGUAGGGGUUACAGCUGUUGCUCAGAUCUGCUCUCUGGCCUGAGAAUUCCACAUGCCAUGGAUAGGCCAAAAAAGAAUUUUUUUUUUUUUGCUUUUUAGGGCCAAAUCUGCAGCAUAUGGAAGUUCCCAGGCUAGGGGUUAAUCAGAGCUGCAGCCGCUGGCCUGCAUCACAGCCACAGCAACACAAGAUCCAAACCACAUCUGUGACCUACACCACAGCUCACGGCCAUACUGGAUCCUUAACCCACUGAUCAGGGGCCAGGGAUUGGACCUGCGUCCUCACGGAUGCUUGACCUGCUAAGCCACCACAGGAACUCCCAGGAAAACAAUUUUUUAAAAUUAAAAGAAAAAAAUAAUGGAGAUGGGGGGUGAGGAGGAUCUUCAGUUCUGCAGAACCACCUGAAAUGCGUCAGAUUGUUCUACAUAGUCCCUUGAGGAGGAACUAAGGGUCCGUUUUGUUGCUGAACUAUUGUUUCUCGGCUGCUUCCCGUGGUUUCUGCAUUCCUUCACUUCCCUAACUAGUAACUGCUUAAGUCUGCUCUUUGGAACUCAAGGAAGCCCUGGGAGACCAAUGCCUUUUUCUACAAACAAUAAACAGGGGAUACAGGGGGCUUUUGUACCCAGGAAGGCCCUAAAAGAUCCUGCUCAGUUUAAAUUCCCCUUUUUCUUGGCUAUUUCUCAAUCCUGAGGGGAAUAGGGGUGGGACAAGAAAAGGAGUAAGGUUUUGGAUAGAGAGGCUAAGGAAACCUCGGCAAGAAAACUGUUUUGGGGGGGUUUGGUUUCAAGGGCAAGGUAGGUGGGAAGGGGUGCAGAGAUUCCAUGCCACUCUGUGGGCAUCCCCACUUGUUCACCAAUCAGGAUGCUCUCCAAACUCUGUCCCUGUGGGUUUUUAUGGAGGCUUUAUUACAUAUUCAUUGACCACCGGAGAUUUAUUGGAUUUAUUCCACGUUUAGCCCAUUCUUAGUGCUUCCAAAAGCCAUCUCAUUAACAUAACAAAAGACACUUUGGGGGCUUUUUUUUUUUUGUCUUUUUAGGGCCACUUGCACCCUUGGCAUAUGGAGGUUCCCAGGCUAGGGAUCUAAUCAGAGCUGUUGCACCACCGCCACAGCAACACCAGAUCUGAGUCAUGUCUGUGACCUACACCACAGCUCACAGCGACACUGGACCCUUGACCCACUGAGCAAGGCCAGAGAUCAAACCUGCUUGCUCAUGGAUGCUAGUCAGAUUCAUUUCCACUGAGCCACGAUGGGAACUCCAAGUAACUUUUUAUCACUCUUAACACUUAGGAAAUUCCUAGCAUUUUGGGAAUUUUGAGCCUGGAAUGUGGACCAAGACAAAAUUAUAGACGGAAGUUUGACGGCUGGAGCAUCCUUCGUUUACUGAUAUGGCAGGUGACAUUCUUAGUUCACAUGCCUCAAGCCCGAUUGCUUCUCCACGCUGACGUCCACCCUCCUGCCCCUUCCGCUCCUGCAGUCCUGGCCGGCUGGCCCUGCCUCCAGGUAUCUGCACUCCCUCCUCCUCUCUGCUGCCCCAGGUGCUCUGAGCUCACUCCCUUACCUCCUUCAGUCCUUUGCAGAGGUGUCACCUUCUCAUUCAGCCUUCCCUGACGGUCCUAUUGAAAACCACAACUUCCAUCCCAGACACCAGCCUCUCCUUCCCUGCUUUGUAAUUUCCCUAGCACUGAGCACCAUCCCAGGUGCCAGAAUUUGAUUCAUUUUACCUGUCUCCUCUUAUUAGAAUAUAAGCUCCAUGAGAACAGGGAUCUUUGUUUUGGUCCCUUCUGUACAUAUUCCUAGAACCUAGAUUUACACUAAGCACAUAGCAAAGCUCAAUAAAUAUUUGC